rnacentral:rRNA from 1 species
AGAGUUUGAUCAUGGCUCAGGAUGAACGCUAGCGGGAGGCUUAACACAUGCAAGUCGAGCGGGAUUCCCUUCGGGGAUGAGAGCGGCAGACGGGUGCGUAACGCGUAUGCAACCUGCCUUAUGCAGGGGGAUAGCCCAUGGAAACGUGGAUUAAUACCCCAUAGAAUCAUUAAGCUGCAUGGUUUGAUGAUUAAAACUUCGGUGGCAUAAGAUGGGCAUGCGUAGGAUUAGCUAGUAGGUGAGGUAACGGCUCACCUAGGCGACGAUCCUUAGGGGUUCUGAGAGGAUUAUCCCCCACACUGGAACUGAGACACGGUCCAGACUCCUACGGGAGGCAGCAGUGAGGAAUAUUGGUCAAUGGCCGGAAGGCUGAACCAGCCAUCCCGCGUGCAGGAUGACGGCCCUACGGGUUGUAAACUGCUUUUCUAUGCCAAGAAACCUAUCUACGCGUAGAUAGUUGCCGGUAGCAUAGGAAUAAGCAUCGGCUAACUCCGUGCCAGCAGCCGCGGUAAUACGGAGGAUGCAAGCGUUAUCCGGAUUCAUUGGGUUUAAAGGGUGCGCAGGUGGGCAUUUAAGUCAGUGGUGAAAUACUGCCGCUUAACGGUAGAACUGCCAUUGAUACUGAAUGUCUUGAGUAUGGUUGAGGUAGGCGGAAUGUGUUGUGUAGCGGAAAUGCAUAGAUAUGACACAGAACACCGAUUGCGAAGGCAGCUUAUUAAGCCAUUACUGACGCUGAGGCACGAAAGCGUGGGGAGCGAACAGGAUUAGAUACCCUAGUAGUCC